rnacentral:rRNA from 1 species
UACCAGCUCUCCGAGUUGUAGGGAUGAUUAUUGGGCUUAAAGCGUCCGUAGCUGGCUUAGCAAGUCUCCUGUUAAAUUCAGCGACCUAAUCGUUGAGCCGCGGGAGAUACUACUAGGCUAGGAGGCGGGAGAGGUCGACGGUACUUUCGGGGUAGGGGUGAAAUCCUAUAAUCCCGGGAGGACCACCAGUGGCGAAGGCUGUCGACUAGAACGCGCUCGACGGUGAGGGACGAAAGCCGGGGGAGCGAACCGGAUUAGAUACCCGGGUAGUCCCAGCUGUAAACUAUGCGGGCUAGGUGUUGGGGUGGCUACGGGCCACUUCAGUGCCGCAGGAAAGCCAUUAAGCCCGCCGCCUGGGGAGUACGGCGCAAGGCUGAAACUUAAAGGAAUUGGCGGGGGAGCACCACAAGGCGUGAAGCUUGCGGUUC